AUUGAACGCUGGCGGCAGGCCUAACACAUGCAAGUCGAGCGGAUGAAGGGAGCUUGCUCCUGGAUUCAGCGGCGGACGGGUGAGUAAUGCCUAGGAAUCUGCCUGGUAGUGGGGGAUAACGUCCGGAAACGGGCGCUAAUACCGCAUACGUCCUGAGGGAGAAAGUGGGUGAUCUUCGGACCUCACGCUAUCAGAUGAGCCUAGGUCGGAUUAGCUAGUUGGUGGGGUAAAGGCCUACCAAGGCGACGAUCCGUAACUGGUCUGAGAGGAUGAUCAGUCACACUGGAAGUGAGACACGGUCCAGAGUCCUACGGGAGGCAGCAGUGGGGAAUAUUGGACAAUGGGCGAAAGCCUGACCCAGCCAUGCCGCGUGUGUGAAGAAGGUCUUCGGAUUGUAAAGCACUUUAAGUUGGGAGGAAGGGCAGUAAGUUAAUACCUUGCCGUUUUGACGUUACCAACAGAAUAAGCACCGGCUAACUUCGUG
rnacentral:rRNA from 1 species